UGAAAGCGUUGGCGAUAUCAAUCGACAC
rnacentral:sRNA from 1 species